AAAAGUCGUAACAAGGUCUCCGUUGGUGAACCAGCGGAGGGAUCAUUAUCGAGUUAUUCAACUCCCAAACCCUAUGUGAACUUACCACUUGUUGCUUCGGCGCGCGCUUCGGCGCCGCCGAGGACACUUAAACUCUUUGUUUUUAUAAGCAUUUCUGAGUGGCCGAAAGGCAAAAAUACAAAUGAAUCAAAACUUUCAACAACGGAUCUCUUGGUUCUGGCAUCGAUGAAGAACGCAGCGAAAUGCGAUAAGUAAUGUGAAUUGCAGAAUUCAGUGAAUCAUCGAAUCUUUGAACGCACAUUGCGCCCGCCAGCAUUCUGGCGGGCAUGCCUGUUCGAGCGUCAUUUCAACCCUCGAGCCCGACUCUUUUGAGGACGGCUCGGCGUUGGGGGACGGCAGACUCCCCCCGGCAUCUCGCCGGGGACGCCGCCCCCGAAAUCUAGUGGCGGCCCUCCGAGGCGACCUCUGCGUAGUAACUUGUUCUCGCACCGGAAAGCUCAGAGCGGCCACGCCGUAAAACCCCAACUUUUUUCAGGUGACCUCGAAUCAGGUAGGACUACCCGCUGAACUUAAGCAUAUCAAUAAGCG
rnacentral:rRNA from 1 species